CCACACUUAACUAAAAUUCAAUUUUUCGACUCUCUCCAUUUCAAUAAAUAACACAAAGUCGUUUUAACACUUGGCCAAAAUUUCCACACUCAUCUCCGCUCUAUCUCUCUCACACGCACACAUUGAGACAGAAGGAUUUCUCAGACACCAAAUGCCGCCAGCGACGGAAGAACCCAACACGACAGCAUCCUCGACGAUGAUGAUGAUCGACGAGAUUUAUGAGUUCUCGGCCCCACGCUUCUUCGAUUUCAUCAAGGACGAGAAUGAGGACGACAAGAUCAACGCCGAGCUUUGGUUUGACUCCCCUUCCCGCGAUGGACGCAGCGGACGAGAAGAGAUAUUUUGGCCUUCACUUUAAUUAGAGAAAAUUGUACUUGUACAUGGUCCCUCUUCCCUAUAAUUACUUGUACUUGUCUGAUGAAAUGUUUAAGCACUGAUGAAAAUUGUUUUGAUUGUUUGGAUAGAAACAUCUUUGCAAGCAGUCUGAUGCUUCUAUGGCAGGAAUGACUUUAGGCUUUAGGUACAUUCAAAGGCUGGUGGACUAAUUCCUUCCUGUAAAAGCAUUUCAUUUUGUCCUUGACCACACUGAUGAGUGUGGAUUAGAGAGCUUGGUAGAGCAGAACAGGGUGAAUUUCAUCCCACCCACGUUGCGAAUGACCAAUUAUGUUGUGUUUAAAUUCGGAGAGCUUACUAGGACUUACAAUGUCUUACUAUCUUGGCUAUCUGGGCUUCACUUCAGAAUGCAGUGGUAUUUCAUGACUUCAUGAUUGCUACUACUGGGAAGUACUGGUAGAGUGCUGCUCAAAACCAGCAUAUGUUGCAUGAGGAGACCAAGCUACAGCGGGAGGGUUCUAAAGAUACUAAUGCUGCUAUUCUUAGAUGUUCAUUAUGUUUUUGGCCUUUAUGUUUAGGUGUAUAUAUAUAGGCAGGGUUAAUAUUAAUUAAUGUUGGGAUGAACAUACUAUUAAUGGAAUAAUUUUUUUUAGGAAUCAAUGGAUGUGUUUUAAUUUA